rnacentral:rRNA from 1 species
AUUUGUCUGGUUAAUUCCGAUAACGAACGAGACCUUAACCUGCUAACUAGAUUCAUUAGUUUUACUCUUGAUAUCUUCUUAGAGGGACUAUGUAAAACAAAUACAUGGAAGUUUGAGGCAAUAACAGGUCAGUGAUGCCCUUAUAUGUCCUGGGCUGCACGCGUGCUACACUGAUGCAUACAACAAGUGCCUAACCAGACAUGGUAUGGCAAUCUCGAAUAUGCAUCGUGAUGGGGAUAGAUCUUUGCAAUUAUAGAUCUUGAACGAGGAAUUCCUAGUAAGUGCAAGUCAUCAUCUUGCAUUGAUUAUGUCCCUGCCCUUUGUACACACCGCCCGUCGCUCCUACCGAUACCGGGUGAUCCGGUGAACCUUUUGGACUCUUUACUGGGAAAGAUAAGUAAACCAUAUCACCUAGAGGAAGGAGAAGUCGUAACAAGGUUUCCGUAGGUGAACCUGCRGAAGGAUCA